UACGGAGGGUGCGAGCGUUAUCCGGAAUUACUGGGUUUAAAGGGUGCGUAGGCGGCUAUGUAAGUCAGGAGUGAAAGUUUGCGGCUCAACCGUAAAAUUGCUUUUGAUACUGCAUGGCUAGAAUUAGGAUGAGGUCAGCGGAAUGUGGCAUGUAGCGGUGAAAUGCAUAGAUAUGCCAUAGAACACCAAUUGCGAAGGCAGCUGACUAGACCUGGAUUGACGCUGAGGCACGAAAGCGUGGGGAGCGAACAGG
rnacentral:rRNA from 1 species